GGGCUCAUAGUUCAGUGGUAGAACGCUGUCCUGAUAAGACAGAGGUCGAAGGUCCGAUUCCUUCUGAGCCCACCA
rnacentral:tRNA from 1 species